CAUUUUUAUAGUGUAAAUAACACAUUACAUUUUCGUUGUAAAACAGAAGAUCUUCUUCUAAAAAU
rnacentral:tRNA from 1 species